GUAAAUUGCAUAUUUUUUAUUUACGCUCUUUCUACUUCUCUAAUUUUUAUGCCGAAAACGACGAGACAUGGGGCCUUUCGUUGACGUCCCUAAUGAGAUAUAUUUACUGGCCUCGAUGGAAGUUGAGUCUUUGGAGCAGGUAAAACCUGGAUAUCUUUACACAUACACUGUGUUCUUUGGGAAGUGCGGCCUAGUUUUUCCCAUCCAGACUCUUUUGCUCGAGGUCAUCCUUAAGUUAAAGAAUCCUUACGGAGAUCCCCACAAGGGAUGAAUGGAGAGAAAAUAAUUCUUUUUGAAGCAAACAAGGCUUGAAUCGGGAGUCAAGGACUGCGAAAGUCACCUUGUGAAGGAGCUCACUGAUCGUGAAGUCACUUUGUGCACAUAGAGGCCAACCUUGCCAGCGAACUUCUGGUCACUGCUAAUUGGUGCUCCACUCUCAUGUUCGAGAGUGAUGCAGUAUUGGUUAGGGUGAAGUGCCUCGAGGAAUAUAAUCAGAGUUUGGUGGUGGCUCACAAGUUCCAGAUGAGGCGUUUGAUUUGGGCCGCCAAACGUGAGAUCUCAAUUAGGUAUCGGGAGAUCUUGAACGUGAUAAAAGACAAAUUGGUGGCUAAAGGCAGGGAGGCCACCACCGAUAUAGAGCUACAGGAAGUGGCAAAGAAUCUUGGCAUCUUGGAGGUACUUCAUAGCGGGAGAUUGAUGUUGAAAUGGAAUUGGCCGAGUUGAGAGACAAGGACACGGACCUGGUGGAUGAUCAGGUUGUUGACUCCGGUGGUGGAGUUAGGGAAGGUUGAAUGUCCCUUUCUUUUUUUUUUGCUGUUGUUUUGUUGCCUAAGGAGGAAUUUUACUUUUCUAAUCAGUACCUUAAGGUUUUAUUUAUUUUAGGAUCUGGUUGUUUGUUUGUGGAAUACUACUUUUGGGGUUGUUUGAGAUUUGUACCAGCUGCAGGUUUAGAAAAUCUCGUGUGAUGCUCUUUUGAGAUUCUCUUAGGAAUUCAUUUGUAAUUCCUCAUAACCUUGGUGUUUUUAUCGGGUGAAGUACUAGAUUUAAGGGCGUGUUACUCUGAUGGUAGAGUUAGGCGAACCCGUUAUAGCGCUGAA